rnacentral:rRNA from 1 species
GACGAACGCUGGCGGCGUGCUUAACACAUGCAAGUCGAACGGAAAGGCCCUGCUUGCAGGGUACUCGAGUGGCGAACGGGUGAGUAACACGUGGGUGAUCUGCUCUGCACUUCGGGAUAAGCCUGGGAAACUGGGUCUAAUACCGGAUAGGAGCCAUUUUUAGUGUGAUGGUUGGAAAGUUUUUUCGGUGUAGGAUGAGCUCGCGGCCUAUCAGCUUGUUGGUGGUGUAAUGGCCUACCAAGGCGGCGACGGGUAGCCGGCCUGAGAGGGUGGACGGCCACAUUGGGACUGAGAUACGGCCCAGACUCCUACGGGAGGCAGCAGGGGGGAAUAUUGCACAAGGGGCGCAAGCCUGAUGCAGCGACGCCGCGGGGGGGAUGACGGCCUUCGGGUUGUAAACUCCUUUCGCUAGGGACGAAGCUUUUUGUGACGGUACCUAGAUAAGAAGCACCGGCUAACUACGUG